GCGGGAGGAAAAAGGAAAACACAAGAAGAAAGAUUUGCGUAAUCGCUAUUAUAUUUCAGUUUUUCUUCAAGAAACCUUGAGCCAUCUUCAAGUAUUCACCAUACCCACCUUCAGAAUGGCUUCAGAAUGGCCAGCAGCACCGCUUGAAUGGGAUGACGAAUGUGUGGCAUCAGCUGCUGAGUGGGAAGAAGUGGGGGAAUGGGAGGAGUGGUACUGGUGGAGAUGAUUCUCAGCCAUCUCUACAUACUUGCCAAAACUCUUCCCUUCGAGCUUGCCAUAGUAAGAGGCAGCUCCAAGAAGAUCAGCUGCAGCACCAGCAACCCUGCCCUUGUCUACCUUGUCAGUUUCGUGCUUAAGUGAAGCUUUGGCUGCCUCAGCCACCAACAUGGCACUGGAAAGAAGCUCAGAGGAAGAU
rnacentral:misc_RNA from 1 species